AUUUGUUUGUCAAAACCCUUCGUCAAAUUUUUUCCGCCCAAACAUUUCGCCGAACCAACAAAACCCUUGGCAAACUUAAGCUCCCUUACCGAAAUCUAUCUACCGUCGAACCAAAACUCUCUUCGAUCCCUAAACUCCGUCCACCGAAAUCUUUCUACCGCCGAACCAAAACCUUCGAUCGUCAAGCAGUAGAUCCCAACGCUGAGGUGAUCGACCAGUCUCUUCGCUUCCUUCGCCCGGCGCUAAGGAGACCUCUCUCACUGGCGCGACUGCCUCCCGUAUGAUUCUGCGGCUACCACUGUGGUGUCGUCUGCCAGUUUGAUUGUGUCGCGCGGCCGCUACAGCUGCCUUGCCUAGAAGAAUCUCAAAUCCCGCUCGUCACUAUACGGUUUUUGAUCUCACUAUCUGAGAAGUCGCCAAGGAACCUAAGCGUGUGUAAUCGCCAGUCCAUUUUUUCCAUUUUGCCCCAUCUUGGUGCUUUUUUUCCUCCAUAUUUACAGGUUGGCUAGAUUUCUCAGAUUCAUUGGUCUAGCAUAAUGGCGGCAAGUUGAGUUUCUAUUUUUUUUUAUUCUUUGUAAUAAUAGUUGCGGUUGUUUAUGAUAAUAUCUCCCUCUUUUUUUUGAUCUUAUCCUCUGGUUAUUAUUGUGAUGUUCAGAAUGCGAGAUUACUUAAAGAUGAAGCUACCGAGGAGAAAGGAGAUCGUGUGAGAAUGCUAUAUAUUUGAUUUAAUUAGUAGUAAAAAAUUAGUUAAACUAACACUAGUCUCAAUUUAUGUGAUCGAGCUUACUCUACAGUUCUGAUUUGUUUUUUUUUUUAAUGUUUUCCUAUAUGCUUAGGAAUCUCAGAUUGAGUUUGAUUAUAGGUUCUAUCAAAUUUUAGAAUUUUUUGCAUUUUAAAUUUAGUAAAAUUAGCAUCUUUUGUCUUAUUUCCUCAGUCAAUAAUUACAUGGUUUAUUGUUAUUUUAGUAAUAACUCUGCACAUUUUAGUGGAACUAUGUUGAUGAGGAUGGAAACCUUUUUCCAAAUAGCUCCUGCAACCAAGCGUGUGAUGUUAAGUUUUUUGGCAUUAUCAUUACUAGAUGAGCAUAUUAAACCUCAGGACAACGUCAAUCUAUUUACUUUUUACUCAUUAAUUGAUAGAAGUUGGAAGCAUGAUUACUUGUUCGAGACUAGAGAAGAUCAAUUCUCUGUGUGUGUAAAUUCAUAUAAUCUUUUUAACAAAACUAUUCUUUUGUUGAUGGCUUAACUUUUGAUGUUAUGCAGGAAUCAUUUGUUGGUGCUAUGGCAAUUGCGAAUCUAGUCAAGACAACUUUUAAAUUUGAGAAUGUCGUAAUGUAGGACAUCAUAGAUUAAACUAUUGUUUGUUGGGUUUGUCAACCAUUUAUAAAGCAGCAUUUAUUAUUAUUUUUGUUAUUAUGUUCUUAUUUACACUGUCAGGUUAUAGAACAAUUACUGAUGGUAUCUCCAGUUCACUUGUUAUUUUUGAAUACAAAUUGAUUAAUUGAAUGGCAUGUUUUUAGUUGUACUAUCUAUACAAUGCCCUUGUGAUUUUGUAGGAUACAGAAUGGCUGCUAAGCGUGCACAAAGUGCAUUGCUUCAAAAGGCAAAAUAUAACAAUCAAAAUCUAGUCAAAAUUGAAGAAUGUGAGUCAGAGAUAUCGGUAAUAAUUCUAAAUGUAAGAUGCAUUUGUUGAUGGAGUUGUUGUAAAAGGUCGAAUUGCAUCUACUGAUCCAAAACCAAAAUUGCAUAUCAUGUUCCUCUUGGUGGAUAUUGUUGGAGAGUUUGGAAUGAUAGAGUUUUUGUCGAGAAGGUGGACCAAAUUCGACCAAAUGAAGAAAUGUUUUUUUAUUGAGGAUGGAAUAGAAAGCACAUUCACUUGGUUA